CCUAACUCCAUGUAAUUUGCAUGACAUUAUUGUUCUUUUUACUUUCAACUUAUAAGAUUUUGCAUUCUUCUACCCCCUACCAAGUAAUGCUCACCUCUUGUAUAAUAGAAGAACAGCGAGGCGAGCAUUUAGGAGUCAUGAGGACUCAGCUCCUGUGGCCAUUGUUGGUUGUCUGCUAGGGGAGCUGUAAUUCCAACAAUGUAGACAUCAACCUGGUUGUAGUACUACGGCUUUCACUAUCUUGGAAACUUGGUGUAUUCUUUUACUGUCACUUUUGGCAAUGCUUCAUUGAAUUUCUACAAUGGUUCAGCUCAUCUUUUGCCAAGGACAGUAUCUUCUUUUUACCUUUCCAUACAGAAUUUUCAUUCUUUGAGAUUUCAUUCUGUUGGAGUGACUGUGUCCCAUAGCAGAAAGAUGGCUUACUCAGUAUGUUCAAGGAAGGUAAUUGAACUUACUUGGUAUGUCUAAGAAGUGUUUUGGGACUAUGGUCCUCUAGAGGCUCUUUAGGAACAUUCUACUUUGAAUCCUUCAGAGAUUAAUCACUAUCAGCUGUGUUGUCACUUCUAACCUUACCUGUCUUGGGACAUCUAAAGAUUUCUGUAAAAAAAAAAAUUCUGUAAGAUUAGCCUUCUAUUACCUAAGGAAGCUGUUGGGAAAGGGUGCUGGCCAGAUUGCAGGUGACGUUAUGAAUGGCCUUAAAAGCAUAGGAUGAAUGACACAAAUAGUAGAGAGGGAGAUGAGAUUAAUCAUUCCUUAUACCUACACCCGUUAAUUUUUUUAAAUUAAAAACAGUCUUGCUUUCACCUUGUCUUUCUCAUAUAUUUUUAUUGCUAGGGUUGAGUUCUUUCAUUUCUAAAGAAAGAUACAAAAAUUAAAAAAUAAAUUUAUCUAUUGGAUAGAGAUAGCCAGAAAUAGAGAAGGAAGGGGGAGUUAGGUAGAAAAACAGAGAGACACCUGCAGCACUGCUUCACCACUCACAGAGCUUUCUCCCAACAGGUGGGUACUGGGAGCUUGAACUCAGGUCCUUCAUAGUAAUAUGUGAGCGCUAUGAGAUUUGCUAUUUCCUGGCCCCAAGAAAGGAGACCAAAACACAUGAUGAAGAACUAAUUCAGCACUUGUUGGAAUGCAUGGGAAAGGAGAAACUUUAAGAAGUUGUUGAGACUUUAUAUUAAGAAAUAGUCUAGGAAUGGUGAAAUAAGUAUUAAAAGUGGUAAACAAAAUUGUUUUGAUAAAGUAUGUUUUGUUAAGAAUCCUGGCUGUUCAUGGCUUCUGCAUACAAUAAUGUUUAAAUUUUGUUUGUACUUAAAAUUGUCAAGGAAAUAAAUUGUUUAACUGGA